rnacentral:rRNA from 1 species
CUGAAAGCAUCUAAGCACGAAACUUGCCCCGAGAUGAGUUCUCCCUGAGACUUUAAGUCUCCUGAAGGAACGUUGAAGACGACGACGUUGAUAGGCCGGGUGUGUAAGCGCAGCGAUGCGUUGAGCUAACCGGUACUAAUGAACCGUGAGGCUUAACCUUACAACGCCGAAG